rnacentral:rRNA from 1 species
UCCUGGCUCAGAUUGAACGCUGGCGGCAGGCCUAACACAUGCAAGUCGAACGGCAGCGGGGGAUAGCUUGCUAUCCUGCCGGCGAGUGGCGGACGGGUGAGUAAUGCCUGGGGAGCUGCCCAAUCGAGGGGGAUACCAACUGGAAACGGUUGCUAAUACCGCAUACGCCCUGCGGGGGAAAGGUGGGGACCUUCGGGCCUACCGCGAUUGGAUGCACCCAGGUGGGAUUAGCUGGUUGGUGAGGUAACGGCUCACCAAGGCGACGAUCUCUAGCUGGUCUGAGAGGAUGACCAGCCACACUGGAACUGAGACACGGUCCAGACUCCUACGGGAGGCAGCAGUGGGGAAUAUUGCACAAUGGGGGAAACCCUGAUGCAGCCAUGCCGCGUGUGCGAUGAAGGCCUUCGGGUCGUAAAGCACUUUUCUAAGAGAUGAGAAAGGACAGUAUCUUAGGAAUAAGUCUCGGCUAACUACGUG